rnacentral:tRNA from 1 species
GCGAGGAUAGCCAAGUCUGGUCUACCUCUUUUCGUGACGAAAAGGGAGACAGAAAAAGGCGCAAGAGCAUUGAGUGCUGAUGAAACGAAAAGCGUUUCCAUGAUUGCGAAACUCAAGCUUGUCGGUUAGUCCGUUCGCAGGUUCAAAUCCUGCUCCUCGCA